AUCUCUCAACCCCCCUAUUUUGUAAUGAGAUAGGCGUUUGGGCUUGGAUUAUGGCUGCUUGCUGGCUCUUUAAUUAGAACCGGCUCGGCUGAAAUAUACGAGCAACCCAGUUUAAUUAUAACGGCUUGACUCGGCGUAAUAACUAUUUCGCUGAGGACGUUUAAAUUAUGAUAGUGGUGCUUCUAAUGCAUUUUAAAUCUUAAGC
rnacentral:misc_RNA from 1 species